GAUGAACGCUGGCGGCGUGCCUAAUACGUGCAAGUCGAACGAAACUUCUUUAUCACCGAGUGCUUGCAGUCACCGAUAAAGAGGUGAGUGGCGAGCGGGUGAGUAACACGUGGGCAACCUGCCCAAAAGAGGGGGAUAACACUUGGAAACAGGUGCUAAUACCGCAUAACCAUAGUUACAGAAUGGUAACUGUGUAAAAGGUGGUUAUAGUACCUCUGCUGGUUGGGCCGGCGGCGCAUUAGCUAGUUGGUAGGGUAAAGGCUUACCAAGGCAAUGAUGCGUAGCCGAAUUGAGAGGUUGAUCGGCCACAUUGGGACUGAGACACGGCCCAAACUCCUACGGGAGGCAGCAGUAGGGAAUCUUCGACAAUGGGCGAAAGCCUGAUGGAGCAACGCCGCGUGUGUGAAGAAGGCCUUCGGAUCGUAAAACCCUGUUGUUAGAGAAGAAAGUGCGUGGGAGUAACUGUUCACGUUUUGACGGUAUCUAAUCAGAAAGCCACGGCUAACUACGUG
rnacentral:rRNA from 1 species